rnacentral:rRNA from 1 species
CAGCCGCCACGGUAAUACAGAGGGUGCAAGUGUUAAUCGGAUUUACUGGGCGUAAAGGGCGCGUAGGUGGUUAUUUAAGUGAGAUGUGAAAUCCCCGGGCUUAACCUGGGAACUGCAUCUUAUACUGGGUAACUGGAGUGCAGUAGAGGGUAGUGGAAUUUCCGGUGUAGCGGUGAAAUGCGUAGAUAUCGGAAGGAACACCAGUGGCGAAGGCGGCUACCUGGACUGAGACUGACACUGAGGCGCGAGAGCGUGGGGAGCAAACAGGAUUAGAUACCCGUGUAGUCCCUGUCUCUUAUAC